GUGGGGAUUAUGGCUCAGUGGCAGAGCGCUUGCCUCAAACAUGUGAGGCACUGGGUUCGAUCCUCAGCACCACA
rnacentral:tRNA from 1 species